UAAGUACUUCCUCCGUCCCAAAAUUCUUGUCUUGAAUUUGUCUAGAUAUGAAUGUAUCUAGUCACGUUUUAGUAUUUUGAUACAUUCAUUUGUAAACAAAUCUAAGACAAGAAUUUUGGGACGGAGAGAGUACUAA
rnacentral:pre_miRNA from 1 species